rnacentral:rRNA from 1 species
AUUGAACGCUGGCGGAAUGCUUUACACAUGCAAGUCGAACGGCAGCACGGACUUCGGUCUGGUGGCGAGUGGCGAACGGGUGAGUAAUAUAUCGGAACGUGCCCAGUCGUGGGGGAUAACGUAGCGAAAGCUACGCUAAUACCGCAUACGAUCUACGGAUGAAAGCGGGGGAUCGCAAGACCUCGCGCGAUUGGAGUGGCCGAUAUCAGAUUAGGUAGUUGGAGAGGUAAAGGCUCACCAAGCCGACGAUCUGUAGCUGGUCUGAGGGGACGACCAGCCACACUGGGACUGAGACACGGCCCAGACUCCUACGGGAGGCAGCAGUGGGGAAUUUUGGACAAUGGACGCAAGUCUGAUCCAGCCAUUCCGCGUGCAGGACGAAGGCCUUCGGGUUGUAAACUGCUUUUGUACAGAACGAAAAGGUCUCUAUUAAUACUAGGGGCUCAUGACGGUACUGUAAGAAUAAGCACCGGCUAACUACGUGCCAGCCGCCGCGGUAA